rfam:Carnobacterium divergens DSM 20623 NODE_75, whole genome shotgun sequence.
UCACUUUUGUUGAAGAAGAGAGUACUUUUUUAGGGAGUUUUUAGCGAGUUGGGACAGUGAAAGCCAAUAACGAAGCAAAAAAGGAAGCGCACUUUGGAAAAAAUAAUUUGAAAUUAGAGUAGAAUUAUUCGGAUUUGUUAUCCGUUAUCAGUAAACAAGCGGUUUGUGCCUUUAUGGUAUAAACAAUUAGAGUGGUACCGCGGGAUAAUACCUCGUCUCUUUU